UUAAGCAUAUCAAUAAGCGGAGGAAAAGAAACUAACAAGUAUUCCCUCAGUAACGGCGAGCGAAGUGGGAAGAGCUCGAGCCUGAAAUCUCUGGCAGGUACUGUCAGCGAGUUGUGGCCGGGAGAGGCAGCUCAAGCUCCGACCGGCGCUGUCGAAGUUGACCUGGAAAGGCACGUCGCAGAGGGUGAGAGCCCCGUGUGCGGCACUGCCGGGCGGAGCUGCUACUGUCUUCGGAGAGUCGGGUUGUUUGGGAAUGCAGCCCAAAGCGGGUGGUAAACUCCAUCUAAAGCUAAAUACUGGCACGAGACCGAUAGCAAACAAGUACCAUGAGGGAAAGGUGAAAAGCACUUUGAAAAGAGAGUCAAAAAGACCGCGAAACCGUUAGGAGGGAAACGAAUGCGGCUGAAUCGGCUCUGCUUCAGGCUCGGGAGACGUUGGCGGUCGGGUCGGGUCCGGUACAGCUUCGGCGGCCGGGCCCGGCCGCGGUCCGCCAUCUCCUCUGCAUUCCUAUGGAGAGCCGGCCAACGACGGUUGCCCCUGGCUCGGAAGGGCGGUGGGGAAGGUGGCUCCCCUUCCGGGGAGAACUUACAGCCGACCGCCUGGUAGACCGGGAGCGACCGAGGAGAGCUGCGGAUCUUCGCACGUGCAGUGCAAGCCUCCCCCCCCCCGGGGGAGGGGGCCGCGCCGCCUCUGUUCGUCCGGGCAUCGCGCUGUGGACUGCUUGCAGUGUUCAGCGACGACUCUGUCUGCUCGUGCGGGGGGCCGGUGACGUUUUGCGCUGCGGUCGUUGGUGCUCGAAUGGCUGCAUCCGACCCGUCUU
rnacentral:rRNA from 1 species